AAUUAUCACGGACACAAAGUCAGGACCUCCUCUGACUGUAAAUCCUCCUGCUGCUUCGUAACACUCACUUCUCCUGUCGUAAGCCUGUCAUUCAGGACCAUAAAAAAUUCACUUCUUAGGGCAAGUUAAAUUUCAAAACUAUUUUUUUUGGCCACUUUUUCCAUGGCAUGUGGAAGUUCCCAGGCCAGGGAGAGAACCUGCACUGAGCCGCCGCAGUGACCAUUCCGAUCCUUACCCUCCUGCACCACAAGGGAACUUAAACUUUCUGAAUAACUCACAUUUGGGGGAUUACUUUCCACUUUUACUUACUUGCUUUCCUCUUUUAUAUUUAUGUUCCCUUGACACCGAAGUUACACACACAAGUAAUUUAUUUUUUUUUUAUUUUUUAUUUUUUUUUGGUCUUUUUGCUAUUUCUUUGGGCCGCUUCCGCGGCAUAUGGAGCGGCCCAAGAAAUGGCAAAAAGACCAAAAAAAAAAAAAAAAAGAAUCAAAUAGUUGUGCAGGAUUCAUCACAUAAGCAGUGUCCAGCCACCCCACUUUUCCCGCUUCUCAGAGGAAGCCACAUCAGAUCUUCCGGUCAUGCCUUUGGCACUGAUGUCCAUAUCUUCAAGUGCAAAGUUAUGCUGCUGCUCUUGAUAGUGAAGCUAUAAAAAUUCAUUAUCGGUUGCUUUCCCAUUAUAAAAAUCACCUUCCUCUAAUCCACACCCACAAACCCGCACUUCCCACCCCCCACUACAGUUAUACCAUCACUGUGCAUGGUUCUAGCCCACAGUAUUAUCACAUAAAGGCCAUUUACAGCUGAGACGUGUUACAAAAAUGAUUAUUCUUCUUUUCUUGGAAAACUCCUAGCCCAUUUUAACCAAAAGUAAGCAUUCUGGGCUAAGCGGUUUACUGUUCUUCCUGUGCUUCAUCGAAAACAAACAGAAAAGAGCUUUUUUUCUUUCUGAAAACUUCAAAAAUAAGUAGUUAUCCAGGCCACAGGACACUCAGCAUCCUGACAACACCAUCUGGGAUGUACAUACACAGUGUUUAUGCUUAUGGUCCCCUUCGUUAAAGAAGACUAACAAUUUGUCAAAUAACCAGCAAUGGUCUACUGCUUGAAUCCUAACUUGGACAAAAAUGUGGGUACCUCCUGAAGGAGCAAAGGAUUCCUGUGGGCUGUAAGUCUUCUCCAUCUCAAUCAGCCCAUUCCCACCUUCCUAUCAGCAUGAAACGCCACCACAUCCAGGAUGUCAGCUGUGAUAACCUUCCCCACGGCAGAACCAAGGUCUGGCCUCAAUGACUAAAUGCCAUCAGGGAAAUGGACACCUGCUUUCUGCUACGGGAGGUGGCCCUAAAUGGACCAAAGGGACCGCCAGGGCUGGUGGGGCCCUGGGAGGUCCAGAAGCAAAAGAAAUAACAAACUGGAAAACUAAAAAGAAAGAAAGAAGAGAUGAAAAAAAGUGUCAGGUUAGAAACACGAAGAGAGAAGAAAAGGAAUAACAGUAGCUAAAAUUUAUCAAGUAUCUAUGUGCCAGACACUGUUCUAUGUGCAUUAGCAACCCAGCCACAACCUUUACGAUGGGAACUCUCACCGCCCCCACUAGACAGACGGGGAAAUGGAGGGAUUGAAGGUAACGACCUGUUCAAGGUCAUACAGGAAAUGGCCGGCCCAGAGCAGGAGCCCAGGCCGUCUUAGCCACGAAUGCUCUUUAAACAUCAUACCUACUGCCUGCAUUUGACGUUCCCGCACACGCUGGGCUAGACUCACCAAUUACCUCUGGUGCCUCUCAAGGCACUCUUAUUUUAAGUUGCCUCAGUGUGAAAACAGAGCUUGGCCUUAAAUAUGCUUUGUGGUUUUCUAGUAAAUACAUUAUUUGUGCUUUUCCACAAGGACUAGCCUCCCGGCUCAAGGGUGUUCAUUAAAGAUCCUCAUGUUCUUGUGCAACCCAAAGGAGAUCUGAUUAUUAAAGACCAAGCUAUUACAGAGGAACCAAGAACAAAGAGGAAAAAAGCAUUUCCCUGACUGCACUCAGAUAAGCCAGCCUGCUAUUUGCUUCAGGGAAUGAUGUGACCUGCCUUGACUAUGAAACAGCUUUCUUGUGGCUGAUGAGAAAAUUUCUACCCAGCUACCCAGAAAACUUCUACCCGUAGCAGAAAAGGUCUGCAGACUGGAAUAAAUCAAUCUUGCCAGCCUAGGACCUUUCCAAAUACAUUUCAGAUAGACAGUGUCAGAACGGUUGAGAAAAGUACAGGUCUCCUUCAACAAGGAUGAGGCUUUUAAACACCAGCCGUCUCCCGAGUUUCGUUUCGUAAUUCUGCAGAAUAGGAUCCACUCUUGGGACAUGAGCUUCAUGCCUCCUUUGACUGUGCUUUUGGCUGUUUAGUUUAUAAUUCUGAGCACCUCAGGGGCCUUUCCCAGCUCCCGCAGGAGCCUAGACAGGGAGAGUCUGGCUGGAAGACAAGUGGCCUGGGGACCAAGAGGGGUCUAAAGAGCUUCAGAAAGACAGGAAGCCUGGACUGGCAUCUGGGCUCUCAGCUGCAAGAUCAGAAGGGAAGCUGUCUCCUUUCGCCCCAGCCUGACAACUUCAACACACAGCCAGCAACUCUCCAGAAAGCAGCAUUUAAUGAGGACAAGAGCUUAGGGAUGGAAACAAGAUUGUGAAGGAAGUCAGAGAUUCUGUCACAAGAAGGAUUACCUGCACGCACAAGCGCAAAGCUCGGGAAGAAGGAAUGAGAUUUUCUGGGGGUGGAUUUGCAGAGUAUCAGGAGUAGAAACAAGAAAGAAGGACUGAUAUCAUGCAUGUACAACGAAUAUCAGAGCUAUUCCACAGUUACAGCCAGUCCAGGCGAUACUCAGACUCAGUAAGUGCUCACAGAAAACAGGUGUUAAAGGCUGGCAGAGAUGCUGACUCCUCACUGAAAAAGAUAACCUCAGUUUGCUAAAGUGAAAGGCAUCAGCUAAUAGUAAUAACAAUAAAUAAUUAACAAUAACUGACACUUAACAUAGAGCUUAUCAUGUGAGAGGCGAGCUCUAACCCUGUCCACUCGUUUCUAUUAGCAUCUAUGCCUUUCACAGCCAAUGAAAAGGGUCCUUUAAUGGCAGAUUAGUAGGUCCCAUUAUUAGAAAUGAGGACAGACUGAAGUGGCACUUUGCGCCUAACACAUGAACUGCCUCAAGUUCACUGAUUCAGUUAUUUUUACUUUUUCAAAAAUCAAAAUAACUUGAUGCUUGUAAUAACUUCCUUAAAGGGUCCUUUGAAAGAUCAAUAAUAUACUACAGGCAAAUAUCUUCUAUAGCAAAAGACAGGGCU
ensembl:lncRNA